UCUCCGUUGGUGAACCAGCGGAGGGAUCAUUACUGAGCGUGUAAAAACACUCAAAACCAUAGCGAACCUACCAGUGGGAUGUAUCGUUGCCUCGGCGCAGGCUGGGAGCUUCUGUAAACUCCCCCACGCGGACUCGCCUCCGCGCGGAGCAGGCCCGCCGGCGGCCCCUACCAAACCUCUUGUUUUUACAGUGUCUCCUCUGAGUUACAAACACAAAUGAAUCAAAACUUUCAACAACGGAUCUCUUGGUUCUGGCAUCGAUGAAGAACGCAGC
rnacentral:misc_RNA from 1 species